UGGGGAAUAUUGGACAAUGGGCGAAAGCCUGAUCCAGCCAUGCCGCGUGUGUGAAGAAGGUCUUCGGAUUGUAAAGCACUUUAAGUUGGGAGGAAGGGCAGUAAAUUAAUACUUUGCUGUUUUGACGUUACCGACAGAAUAAGCACCGGCUAACUCUGUGCCAGCAGCCGCGGUAAUACAGAGGGUGCAAGCGUUAAUCGGAAUUACUGGGCGUAAAGCGCGCGUAGGUGGUUCGUUAAGUUGGAUGUGAAAUCCCCGGGCUCAACCUGGGAACUGCAUUCAAAACUGACGAGCUAGAGUAUGGUAGAGGGUGGUGGAAUUUCCUGUGUAGCGGUGAAAUGCGUAGAUAUAGGAAGGAACACCAGUGGCGAAGGCGACCACCUGGACUGAUACUGACACUGAGGUGCGAAAGCGUGGGGAGCAAACAGGAUUAGAUACCCAUGUAGUCCCUGAGCGGGCUGGCAAGGCGCAU
rnacentral:rRNA from 1 species